rnacentral:rRNA from 1 species
UAGGAUCAAGCGACUAAGUGCAUACGGUGGAUGCCUUGGCGACUACAGGCGAUGAAGGACGUUGUAGCCUGCGAUAAGCUGCGGCGAGCUGGCAAACAAGCUUUGACCCGCAGAUUUCCGAAUGGGGAAACCCACCCGCAAGGGUAUCUUUGACUGAAUACAUAGGUCAUCGAAGCGAACCGGGCGAACUGAAACAUCUCAGUAACUCGAGGAAAAGAAAUCAACCGAGAUUCCGAUAGUAGUGGCGAGCGAAAUCGGAACAGCCUGCAUAAUUUAGCAUUUGGUAUAGCAAAACGACAUGGAAAGGUCGGCCAUAGAAGGUGAUAGCCCUGUAUGUAAAAUGCCAUUUGUGGAACUAGGUAUGCGAAAAGUAGGGCGGGACACGUGUAAUCCUGUCUGAAGAUGGGGGGACCAUCCUCCAAGGCUAAAUACUCGUAGUCGACCGAUAGUGAACAAGUACCGUGAGGGAAAGGUGAAAAGAACCCCGGGAGGGGAGUGAAAUAGAUCCUGAAACCGUAUGCAUACAAAAAGUCGGAGCCCUACGGGGUGACGGCGUACCUUUUGUAUAAUGGGUCAGCGACUUACAUUCAGUGGCAAGCUUAACCGAAUAGGGAAGGCGCAGGGAAACCGAGUCCGAACAGGGCGACUAGUCGCUGGGUGUAGACCCGAAACCGGAUGAUCUAUCCAUGGCCAGGAUGAAGGUGCGGUAACACGUACUGGAGGUCCGAACCGACUAGUGUUGCAAAACUAGCGGAUGAGCUGUGGAUAGGGGUGAAAGGCUAAACAAAUCCGGAAAUAGCUGGUUCUCCUCGAAAACUAUUUAGGUAGUGCCUCGCGUAUCACCGCCAGGGGUAGAGCACUGUUUUGGCUAGGGGGUCAUGACGACUUACCAAACCAAUGCAAACUCCGAAUACUGGUGAGUGCAGCGCGGGAGACAGUGCACCGGGUGCUAACGUCCGGACACAAGAGGGAAACAACCCAGACCGCCAGCUAAGGUCCCUAAAUAUAGCUAAGUGGGAAACGAAGUGGGAAGGCAUUGACAGUCAGGAGGUUGGCUUAGAAGCAGCCACCCUUUAAAGAAAGCGUAAUAGCUCACUGAUCGAGUCGUCCUGCGCGGAAGAUGUAACGGGGCUAAGCUAUAUACCGAAGCUGCGGAUGUGCGUAAGCACGUGGUAGAGGAGCGUUCUGUAAGCCUGUGAAGGUGUGCUGAGAGGCAUGCUGGAGGUAUCAGAAGUGCGAAUGCUGACAUGAGUAGCGUUAAAAGAGGUGAAAAGCCUCUUCGCCGAAAGCGCAAGGUUUCCUACGCAACGUUCAUCGGCGUAGGGUGAGUCGGCCCCUAAGGCGAGGCAGAGAUGCGUAGUCGAUGGGAAACAGGUCAAUAUUCCUGUACCGAUGUCUAGUGCGAUGUGGGGACGGAGAAGGUUAAAUCAGCCGGGUGUUGGAUGUCCCGGUUCAAGUGUGUAGGCGUGCCCCUUAGGCAAAUCCGGGGGGCUUAGCUGAGGCAUGAUAACGAGGCAGCUUGCUGCCGAAGUGAUUGAUACCCUGCUUCCAAGAAAAGCCACUAAGCUUCAGCUAGACGCGACCGUACCGCAAACCGACACUGGUGCGCGAGAUGAGUAUUCUAAGGCGCUUGAGAGAACUCGGGAGAAGGAACUCGGCAAAUUUGUACCGUAACUUCGGGAUAAGGUACGCCCCCGGUAUGUAACGCCGUACAGGCUGAGCAGAAAGGGGCCGCAGUGAAAAGGUGGCUGCGACUGUUUAUUAAAAACACAGCACUCUGCAAACACGAAAGUGGACGUAUAGGGUGUGACGCCUGCCCGGUGCCGGAAGGUUAAGUGAUGGGGUGCAAGCUCUUGAUCGAAGCCCCGGUAAACGGCGGCCGUAACUAUAACGGUCCUAAGGUAGCGAAAUUCCUUGUCGGGUAAGUUCCGACCUGCACGAAUGGCGUAACGAUGGCCACACUGUCUCCUCCCGAGACUCAGCGAAGUUGAAAUGUUUGUGAUGAUGCAAUCUCCCCGCGGAAAGACGGAAAGACCCCAUGAACCUUUACUGUAGCUUUGCAUUGGAUUUUGAACAGAUCUGUGUAGGAUAGGUGGGAGGCUUUGAAGCGGUGCCGCCAGGUGCCGUGGAGCCAACCUUGAAAUACCACCCUGAUGUGUUUGAGGUUCUAACCCUGGACCGUGAAUCCGGUUCGGAGACAGUGCAUGGUGGGCAGUUUGACUGGGGCGGUCUCCUCCCAAAGCGUAACGGAGGAGUUCGAAGGUACGCUAGGCACGGUCGGAAAUCGUGCUGAUAGUGCAAUGGCAUAAGCGUGCUUAACUGCGAGACUGACAAGUCGAGCAGAUGCGAAAGCAGGACAUAGUGAUCCGGUGGUUCUGUAUGGAAGGGCCAUCGCUCAACGGAUAAAAGGUACUCUGGGGAUAACAGGCUGAUACCGCCCAAGAGUUCAUAUCGACGGCGGUGUUUGGCACCUCGAUGUCGGCUCAUCUCAUCCUGGGGCUGUAGCCGGUCCCAAGGGUAUGGCUGUUCGCCAUUUAAAGAGGUACGUGAGCUGGGUUUAAAACGUCGUGAGACAGUUUGGUCCCUAUCUUCCGUGGGCGUUGGAGGCUUGAGAGGGGCUGCUCCUAGUACGAGAGGACCGGAGUGGACGAACCUCUGGUGUACCGGUUGUCACGCCAGUGGCAUCGCCGGGUAGCUAAGUUCGGAAGAGAUAACCGCUGAAAGCAUAUAAGCGGGAAACUUGCCUCAAGAUUAGGCCUCCCUGGAGACUCGAUCUCCCUAAAGGGUCGUUGAAGACGACAACGUUGAUAGGCUGGGUGUGGAAGCGCAGUAAUGUGUUGAGCUAACCAGUACUAAUUGCCCGUGCGGCUUGAUCCUA